rnacentral:rRNA from 1 species
UACGUAGGGGGCAAGCGUUGUCCGGAUUUAUUGGGCGUAAAGCGCGUGUAGGCGGCCAGAAAAGUCCGCUGUGAAAACUCGAGGCUCAACUUCGAGCUGUCGGUGGAAACUUUCUGGCUAGAGUCCGGAAGAGGAGAAUGAAAUUCCUGGUGUAGCGGUGAAAUGCGCAGAUAUCAGGAAGAACACCCGUGGCGAAGGCGGUUCUCUGGGACGGCAACUGACGCUGAGGCACGAAAGCGUGGGGAGCAAACAGG